rnacentral:rRNA from 1 species
UACGGAGUGGGCUAGCGCUGUUCGGAAUUACUGGGCGUAAAGCGCACGUAGGCGGACUGGAAAGUCAGGGGUGAAAUCCCGGGGCUCAACCCCGGAACUGCCUUUGAAACUCCCGGUCUUGAGGUCGAGAGAGGUGAGUGGAAUUCCGAGUGUAGAGGUGAAAUUCGUAGAUAUUCGGAGGACCACCAGUGGCGAAGGCGGCUCACUGGCUCGAUACUGACGCUGAGGUGUGAAAGCGUGGGGAGCAAACAGG